rnacentral:rRNA from 1 species
GACGAACGCUGGCGGCGUGCUUAACACAUGCAAGUCGAACGGAAAAGCCUCUUUCGGGGGGUACUCGAGUGGCGAACGGGUGAGUAACACGUGAGUAACCUUCCCUUGACUUUGGGAUAACUUCAGGAAACUGCGGCUAAUUCCGGCUAGGAGCUCCUGCUGCAUGGUGGGGGUUGGUCAGUUUCGGCGGUUGGGGAUUGACUCGCGGCUUAUCAGCUUGUUGGUGGGGUAGUGGCUUACCAAGGCUUUGACGGGUAGCCGGCCUGAGAGGGUGACCGGCCGCAGUGAGACUGAGAGAAGGCCGAGACGCCUACGGGAGGCAGAAGGGGGGAAGAUUGAACAAGGGGUGGAAGCCGGAUGAAGAAACGCCGUGGGCGGGAGAACGGUCUUCGGGUGGAAGACCGCUUUCGCUCAUGACGAAGCGUGGUGUGACGGUAGUGGGUAAAGAAGCACCGGCUAACUACGUG